CCUACGGGAGGCAGCAGUAGGGAAUAUUGCUCAAUGGGCGAAACCCUGAAGCAGCAACGCCGCGUGGAGGAUGAAGGCUUUCGGAUUGUAAACUCCUUUUUUUAGAGAAGAUAAUGACGGUAUCUAACGACUAAGCACCGGCCAACUCCGUGCCAGCAGCCGCGGUAAUACGGAGGGUGCAAGCGUUACUCGGAAUCACUGGGCGUAAAGAGCGCGUAGACGGGAUAGCAAGUCAGAUGUGAAAUCCUAGGGCUUAACCAUAGAACUGCAGUUGAAACUGGUAUGCUAGAGUAUGGGAGAGGUAGGUGGAAUUCGUGGUGUAGGGGUGAAAUGCGUAGAGAUCAAGAGGAAUACUCAUUGCGAAGGCGGCCUGCUGGAACAUAACUGACGCUGAUGCGCGAAAGCGUGGGGAGCAAACAGGAUUAGAUACCCCAGUAGUC
rnacentral:rRNA from 1 species